GAGUUUGAUCUUGGCUCAGAUUGAACGCUGGCGGCAGGCCUAACACAUGCAAGUCGAGCGGCAGCGCGGGGCAACCUGGCGGCGAGCGGCGGACGGGUGAGUAACGCGUAGGAAUCUACCCAGUAGCGGGGGAUAGCCCGGGGAAACUCGGAUUAAUACCGCAUACGCCCUAAGGGGGAAAGCAGGGGAUCUUCGGACCUUGCACUAUUGGCAGAGCCUGCGUUGGAUUAGCUAGUUGGUAGGGUAAAGGCCUACCAAGGCAACGAUCCAUAACUGGUCUGAGAGGAUGAUCAGUCACACCGGAACUGAGACACGGUCCGGACUCCUACGGGAGGCAGCAGUGGGGAAUAUUGGACAAUGGGGGCAACCCUGAUCCAGCCAUGCCGCGUGUGUGAAGAAGGCCUUCGGUUGUAAG
rnacentral:rRNA from 1 species